rnacentral:rRNA from 1 species
UACGUAGGAGGCGAGCGUUGUCCGGAUUUACUGGGCGUAAAGAGCGCGCAGGCGGUCGUUCAAGUCGCGUGUGAAAGCCCCCGGCUCAACUGGGGAGGGUCACGCGAUACUGAUCGACUCGAAGGCAGGAGAGGGUAGUGGAAUUCCCGGUGUAGUGGUGAAAUGCGCAGAGAUCGGGAGGAACACCAAUGGCGAAAGCAGGUACCUGGACUAUUACUGACACUCAGCUGCGAAAGCUAGGGGAGCAAACAGG